CUUCCGUAGGUGAACCUGCGGAAGGAUCAUUACUGAGUGAGGGUCCCUCGGGGCCCAACCUCCCACCCGUGUAUACCGUACCUUGUUGCUUCGGCGAGCCCGCCCCCUUUUUCUUUUAGGGGGCACAGCGCUCGCCGGAGACACCAACGUGAACACUGUCUGAAGUUUUGUCGUCUGAGUCGAUUGUAUCGCAAUCAGUUAAAACUUUCAACAAUGGAUCUCUUGGUUCCGGCAUCGAUGAAGAACGCAGCGAAAUGCGAUAAUUAAUGUGAAUUGCAGAAUUCAGUGAAUCAUCGAGUCUUUGAACGCACAUUGCACCCCCUGGUAUUCCGGGGGGUAUGCCUGUCCGAGCGUCAUUGCUGCCCUCAAGCACGGCUUGUGUGUUGGGUCGUCGUCCCCCCCCAGGGGGACGGGCCCGAAAGGCAGCGGCGGCACCGCGUCCGGUCCUCGAGCGUAUGGGGCUUUGUCACCCGCUCUUGUAGGCCCGGCCGGCUGCUGGCCGACGCUGAAAAGCAACCAACUAUUUUCCAGGUUGACCUCGGAUCAGGUAGGGAUACCCGCUGAACUUAAGCAUAUCAAUAAGCGGAGGAA
rnacentral:rRNA from 1 species